rnacentral:lncRNA from 1 species
CUUAGAUUUCUUAGAGAGAGAAGAAAGUGGUGACUUCCUUGACACUUCCCAAGAAUAUCUAGAAAAUAUUCCUAAGUGUCCUCUUCUUCAUGCAACUGAUCAACUAGUAUGGGCUAAGAGACCUAUUUCUUUUACAAAGGAGAAAUUCUUCAGCUGAAGGAUGGUAAUAGUGGGAAUUUUCUAAAUAGACAAACAUCUAGCCUGAGAUUUAUUUUUUAUUUAAAAUAAUUUAACUCUAUCUAAAUUACAAGUUGAUUUCUAUGUAAAUCAACUGCCAUACUGAAACACUGAACACACAUUGGUUCUGCGAGCCUGUUCUCCUUUUUUUAGAAUUUCUGGGCAGCUGUUGACAAAGAACAAGGGCUCAUGAAGCAGAAAAGAAUAAAGAGCAGGACUGUGUGCUUUGGGUCUACUCUUCCAGAACUUUGACCGAGUGGCUCAGAACAAGCGCGCCAGUGAAAAUCGACCAGAAAGCCACUGUUUUUGGAGCUUUUCUCUGAGCUUCUGUCGCCAUAGCACUUCAUGAAAGAACAAGUGAACUUCUGUCUCCCCAUUUCCAGGUAUCGGGUAGUAGGCAUCUCUCCCUGGGCAAAAGCUACUGGUUUUGUAAGCGUCAGGAGGUGCAACGAGAAGAGCAUGGAUCUAGCAAAAAUUUUUCAUGAGAUCCUAGAGAAAGAAACGUGCCAUAAGCAUGGCUCUUGGACAUGGACAGCUCCAGGACUGCAGAUGGGAGCACCUCUGAGUGUGCUCUCCAUGCCGGAUGCUCACCGCGGGGUAAUCAUGCUUUCCAUGUUGUUUUCUUUGGAAAACGUAAGUCAUCUGCCGGAAUUAGUGAGGUUGGACUUAAUAUUUUUCCCCAUGAACCUUUAGUCUUAGUAAUUUGAAGGUUAUAUAAAUAUAUCCCUUAAAUACCCUGAGUAUGUCUCUAGUUAUUUUAGCUUUGGUAAUGGUAUUGAGUUUAUUGAGUUCACACAAUUAAAUGAACAAUUUAAUGCCAGAUAAGAAUUUUUCUUACCAGGAAUGUCUGGCAAAUGAGGCCUAACAAAAACAAUAUUAUCUUAACUGAAGUCUUCCUUAUUCUCCUCUGGUAGAUUUUCAAUAGACUUCGUGUUUUAGUGCAUAAUUGCUCCAUAACUUUAUAAUUUACUACCAUAGACCUUAUUAAAGUAUCCUUAAUUCUGGAGUUUUUUGAAGCACUAGAAGAGAGAGAGAAGAGCCUUAGAUACUUCUUAACUGUUAGCUAUAAAAAUUUAAAGCAUUUCUUAAUGUAUUUCUAUUGUGAGAAAUUUCCUCAAUAAAAAGCUCUGGG